GCUCAUGGCUCAGGAUGAACGCUAGCUACAGGCUUAACACAUGCAAGUCGAGGGGAAACGACAUCGAAAGCUUGCUUUUGAUGGGCGUCGACCGGCGCACGGGUGAGUAGCGCGUAUCCAACCUGCCCACCACUUGGGGAUAACCUUGCGAAAGUAAGACUAAUACCCAAUGAUAUCUCUAGAAGACAUCUGAAAGAGAUUAAAGAUUCAUCGGUGAUGGAUGGGGAUGCG
rnacentral:rRNA from 1 species